UACGUAGGGGGCAAGCGUUGUCCGGAUUUAUUGGGCGUAAAGAGCGUGUAGGCGGCCAGACAAGUCUGCUGUGAAAACUCGAGGCUCAACCUCGAGCUGUCGGUGGAAACUGUCUGGCUAGAGUCCGGAAGAGGAGAGUGGAAUUCCUGGUGUAAGCGGUGAAAUGCGCAGAUAUCAGGAAGAACACCUAUGGCGAAGGCAGCUCUCUGGGACGGUACUGACGCGAGACGCGAAAGCGUGGGGGAGCGAACAGG
rnacentral:rRNA from 1 species